rnacentral:rRNA from 1 species
GAUGAACGCUGGCGGCAGGCCUAACACAUGCAAGUCGAACGGUAGCACAGAGAGCUUGCUCUCGGGUGACGAGUGGCGGACGGGUGAGUAAUGUCUGGGAAACUGCCCGAUGGAGGGGGAUAACUACUGGAAACGGUAGCUAAUACCGCAUAACGUCGCAAGACCAAAGUGGGGGACCUUCGGGCCUCACACCAUCGGAUGUGCCAAGAUGGGAUUAGCUAGUAGGUGGGGUAAUGGCUCACCUAGGCGACGAUCCCUAGCUGGUCUGAGAGGAUGACCAGCCACACUGGAACUGAGACACGGUCCAGACUCCUACGGGAGGCAGCAGUGGGGAAUAUUGCACAAUGGGCGCAAGCCUGAUGCAGCCAUGCCGCGUGUAUGAAGAAGGCCUUCGGGUUGUAAAGUACUUUCAGCGGGGAGGAAGGCGGUGAAGUUAAUAACUUCACCGAUUGACGUUACCCGCAGAAGAAGCACCGGCUAACUCCGUGCCAGCAGCCGCAGUAA